rnacentral:rRNA from 1 species
GAUCCUGGCUCAGGAUGAACGCUAGCGACAGGCUUAACACAUGCAAGUCGAGGGGCAGCGGUGGUGUAGCAAUACACCGCCGGCGACCGGCGCACGGGUGAGUAACGCGUAUGCAACUUGCCUAUCAGGAGGGGGAUAACCCGGCGAAAGUCGGACUAAUACCGCAUGAAGCAGGGAUCCCGCAUGGGAAUAUUUGCUAAAGAUUCAUCGCUGAUAGAUAGGCAUGUCCG